AUUGCAGAAUCCCGUGAACCAUCGAGUCUUUGAACGCAAGUUGCGCCCCAAGGCAUUAGGCCGAGGGCACGUCUUCCUGGGUGUCA
rnacentral:rRNA from 1 species